rnacentral:tmRNA from 1 species
ACAGGCUUCGACGGGAGAGGCUGGUCCCGGAAUGCGAGCCGAGCGGCGCCGAACUCGUAAACUCAGCGCAAACAAUCAAGUGCCAACCGCACUUCCUACGCUGCUAUGCCCCUCGCUGCAUAAGCGCUGACAUAACAGCCGUGGCGCCUUGGCGCCACGCGUCCGCCGGCACCCUUCUCCGUCGGGUGACGGACCGGGCGAGACAAUGGCGGAGUGCCGCGCAUGACGCCGCUACCUGCGCGAAAGACCAGCGGCUGGUCCCAGAGAGUUCCUGUCAGAUGAGACCUCUGGGAUGACAAACCUCGACUGACUACGCUCGUAGAUUUCCGAGGGUCGAAUCUUUCGGACGCGGGU